CGUUGCCGUGAGAACUCUGAAGCCUAAGAAAUUUGCCCUAUCUUUUCCUUGUUUUUUCAUAGUUCCUCCGGAAUCACGAAGGUAAAUGUGUUUUCGAUGCUUUGUUUUCGUUUCUGAGAAUUCUAGAAUUUAGUUUAUGCUAUAAUAUGAUUUGAUUUUUGACUUCAUAGUUUUGUUUCUCUAAAACCCUAGAAAUUAAUUGAAGAAUUGUUAACAGUGAAAUUGGGGUUGGAUAUCAUUGGUGAUGAAAUUGUCCAUAAAUUUUUAAGGGGAGAGGAUCUUUCUGACGAUGAGGAUGAUUAUUGUAAUCGCAAGUUAUUAUUUCUGAAUCUGAGUUUUAACAAGAAAGAUUCGGAUUUGUUUGAAAUGGAUGACUACGAAGAAAGUGAGAAGGGGGAAUUUAACAAGGAUGACCAGGAGUUCUUGAAGACUUAUGUUGAGAAUAAAAUGUGGGUAUCUGAGAAAAAGAGUCAUGAAUUUGAUGAUUUAGAUAUUCUCUCUCAGGAUGAGGAGGUCCAGAAGCGAGAAAGGGAAAAAUAUGAGGAGGCCCGGAAGCAAGAAAGAGAAAAAUACGAGGAGGUCCUGAAGCAAGAAAGAGAAAAAUGUAAAGAGGUCUAGAAGCAAGAAAGAGAAAUAUAUGAGGAGAUCAGCCAUGAGAUGCAUCCAAGUAAUGUACCAAAGUCCAAAUAUAUGUACUACAAGGGAUUAACAAGUUUGGUACCAGUGGCUGAGGAGAAGGAAGAUAGAGUCCAAGUGGUGGAAGUGAAUGGUGAUGCUGGUAAAUCUUCUAAGAAGAGCAAGAGAAAACAGCGACCAAAAGAAUGUAAACCCUCAAAAGAAAGGCUCAAAGCAUAUGGACUCGAUAUUGAACCUAACGAGAAGAAGAAGAAGAAUCGGUUUCAACAAUGGUAGAAGGACAGCGAGAUGAGCUGCAGUUCUUGUUCGAUAGGCAUGCAGAGGAGAAACGAAAAAUGUUGGUUGUAGUGCUGGAGCUCCAGGUUACACUGAAGAUAGAUAUAUAGUAUAUUUCUAGAAUAGGAAUAUUGGUACUUUCAUUGUUCUUCGGGGAGAAUGUGAAAGUACCUACUAUGAAUGUCGUAAGUAAUUUAUAUGUUUCUUUGUGGAUUUUCAUCUUUUUUUAUGGGUUGUAGAAACUUAACUCGAACUUGUUAGCUAGUGUUCUUUGUUUUCUGCAGAUGUUUUUUUUAUCACUAGAUACUUCACUCUUGUUUUUCUUUCGAGCAAGCUGUGUUCAUUAUUCUUUAAGUUAUGUCAG